AGAGUUUGAUCCUGGCUCAGGAUAAACGCUAGCGGCAGGCUUAACACAUGCAAGUCGAGGGGCAGCGAGGAGUAGCAAUACUCUGUCGGCGACCGGCGCAAGGGUGCGUAACGCGUGAGCAACUUGCCCUGGACAGGGGGAUAAGCAUUGGAAACGAUGUCUAAUACCCCAUAACAACAGACCUUACAUGGGGUUUGUUUGAAAGGUAUUUAUACCGGUUUAGGAUGGGCUCGCGUAACAUUAGUUAGUUGGUAGGGUAACGGCCUACCAAGACUACGAUGUUUAGGGGAACUGAGAGGUUGGUCCCCCACACUGGAACUGAGACACGGUCCAGACUCCUACGGGAGGCAGCAGUGAGGAAUAUUGGUCAAUGGCCGGAAGGCUGAACCAGCCAUGCCGCGUGAAGGAAUGAGGCCCUAUGGGUCGUAAACUUCUUUUGUAAGGGAGCAAUAAGGGUUAUGUAUAGCCCGAUGAGAGUACCUUAUGAAUAAGCAUCGGCUAACUCCGUGCCAGCAGCCGCGGUAAUACGGAGGAUGCGAGCGUUAUCCGGAUUUAUUGGGUUUAAAGGGUGCGUAGGCGGAGAAGUAAGUCAGCGGUGAAAUGUCGAGGCUCAACCUCGGAACUGCCGUUGAUACUGCCUUUCUAGAAUGCGGAUGCCGUGGGAGGAAUGUGUGGUGUAGCGGUGAAAUGCAUAGAGAUCACACAGAACACCGAUUGCGAAGGCAUCUCACGAAUCCGCAAUUGACGCUGAGGCACGAAAGCGCGGGGAUCGAACAGGAUUAGAUACCCUGGUAGUCCGCGCAGUAAACGAUGAUGACUAGCCGUCGGCGAUACAAUGUCGGUGGUCAAGCGAAAGCGAUAAGUCAUCCACCUGGGGAGUACGACCGCAAGGUUGAAACUCAAAGGAAUUGACGGGGGCCCGCACAAGCGGAGGAACAUGUGGUUUAAUUCGAUGAUACGCGAGGAACCUUACCCGGGCUCGAACGGCAGAUGAAAGUCUCAGAGAUGAGCUGUCCUUCGUGACAUCUGUCGAGGUGCUGCAUGGUUGUCGUCAGCUCGUGCCGUGAGGUGUUGGCUUAAGUGCCAUAACGAGCGCAACCCUUGCCGCCAGUUGCCAUCACGUAGUGGUGGGCACUCUGGUGGGACUGCCACCGCAAGGUGUGAGGAAGGGGGGGAUGACGUCAAAUCAGCACGGCCCUUACGUCCGGGGCGACACACGUGUUACAAUGGCGGCUACAGAGGGUUGCUACGCGGCGACGCGGUGCUAAUCUCAAAAAGCCGUCUCAGUUCGGACUGGAGUCUGCAACUCGACUCCACGAAGCUGGAUUCGCUAGUAAUCGCGCAUCAGCCAUGUCGCGGUGAAUACGUUCCCGGGCCUUGCACUAACCGCCCGUCAAG
rnacentral:rRNA from 1 species